GACGAACGCUGGCGGCGUGCUUAACACAUGCAAGUCGAACGGAAAGGCCCUGCUUUUGUGGGGUGCUCGAGUGGCGAACGGGUGAGUAACACGUGAGUAACCUGCCCUUGACUUUGGGAUAACUUCAGGAAACUGGGGCUAAUACCGGAUAGGAGCUCCUGCUGCAUGGUGGGGGUUGGAAAGUUUCGGCGGUUGGGGAUGGACUCGCGGCUUAUCAGCUUGUUGGUGGGGUAGUGGCUUACCAAGGCUUUGACGGGUAGCCGGCCUGAGAGGGUGACCGGCCAGAUGGGGACUGAGAUACGGCCCAGCCUCCUCCGGGGGGGAGCAUGGGGGAAUAUUGCCAAAGGGGCGGAAGCCUGAGGGAGCACGCCGGGGGGGGGGAUGACGGCCUUCGGGUUGUAAACCGCUUUCCCCUGUGACGAAGGGUAAGGGACGGUAAUGGGUAAAGAAGCCCCGGCAAACUACGU
rnacentral:rRNA from 1 species